AUCCUAUGCAAAUUGAACCACGAUGAACUCAAGCCAUCGCUCGUCGUCUCUAAAUCCUUCCACAAUGCCGCUCUCAUGGCUCAACAGUUGCACUUCGACUUCUCCACCCCGGCACCGAAGAAGGCAGUAAUGGCCUUUGCCGGUAGGAAGGACACGGAUGUGACCCCAAGCGCCCCGUCGAUGAAACUGGAAUCCAGAAAGCCAAGGACAUCUAAAUUGUCUGAAGAAGAGACAAGGAAGAUUGCGGUUGUGCUCUUUCCAGUGGCAGACUGCAAGAGGGGCUUAUUUCCUAAAGCCGAAUGGAGGCCCUGUGGUGCUGCCCCUCGCUACGAGCAAUCUCUUGUUCGUUUCUCCAAUGCACACGCUUAAUCUUGCGGGCAAUUUAUCUUAGUCUCACUAUAACAGGAUUUUAAUUCUUCCCAAUGGAUCUACUUAAUGCAUCUCAUCGAGUAAUGUGAUGGAAUGUUUAUUAUGUCAUGACUGAAGUAUUUGUAAUGAUUUUUAACUUUAGGAGUAGGAUCUUCAGAGUCAAAUCUUAAUUUUACUGCCCCUGUGAUUGAAGAACAGUAGUUAGUUUUUUUUUUUAUUUUUU